ensembl:lncRNA
GGGUGCGCCGCCAUCAUCGCGGAUCGGGUCUGGGCGGGGGUCUCUUCCCUGUGGUGACAGUGGCAAGACCCGAGGGAAUGGCAUGGAGACGCGCCAGGGAAGGGUCAGGAGCCUAGGGCUGCAGUGCAGGAGGAUGGGAUAAACGAGGAAUUCACUCUUUCCACUUCUGUAGUCUUUUGAGUCGCGUUCCGAAUCGUAUCGAGCAGCUAUCUUUUGCAAAACCGCCUACUCUUUUAAAAUGAAAUCUAAACAGAGCUUGAAAAUAAAAGGUAAGUGUGGAGUUAAUCCAGUUUCCGCAGGUUUGUUCCCCACCACUGUGAAAAACAGGAUUUAUAGGAGGGUUGUAGGACGUGAGUGAGAGGAAAGCUCUAUAUUCAAGAAGUGAUCGACCUUGUAUUAGGUAAUGGAUGAUUGUAAGAACAAGGAAGCUUUCACAGGCGUUAAUAUUCUUGGUGGCAGCAGACUGAACUGGCAAAUACGUACACAGCUGGCAAAGCCUUGUAUGCAGUAGCAGAUCAUCUGAGUGGUACGGAGGGAAGAAGGAGGUGCGUAAGGACAUCCUCACAGGUUCUUCAUGUGCACGAGAGCUGGUCACCAGUGCCAAUGCAUUGUCUGUAUCUUUAUUGUUUUUUAUCUUUGAUGUGGGCUCGCCACCUGCUUGGAUGUGCUGUUUCUGCACUGAAGACACUGCUUAGGCUGCCUUGGGCUGCCAACUUGUCUCCAGAUCGUACAGAGGGAGUAAAUUCUACACAAACAGGAGCAGGGAGGAUCAAUGAAGAGUCUGUAUGCAAGUGCUACGUUAUGAAAGAUCAUGAGGAGAAGGGGUUCAGAAUGUGCCAGCAGAGCUGAGUGGGCUAAGUUUGUGUACUGCAUUUGGUGGAAGCUAAACAGAAAAUAGUCUGUGAACUGAAAUACGAAGGACAGAAAUACGAAGGAUUGUUAAGGACAACAAAGGCUGAGCUGUCCAAACCAUGGAAGGCAUGGGCAGAGCUUUCCCUGGACCUGGAAAACUUCCUGAUGCACUGAAGUCUGAAGUCCGAAUCACGGGCACGCAAAGUCGCUGUGCAAUAGAAUGAACCAGGAAGCUUUUAGUGGGCGGCUUAUCCUGGAACAGUUCAUCGAAUGUGAUAUCUCUUUGAACAGGUAUUUAUUUCACAGGCGCUUUUUUGCUGCUGUGUAGCUCAUACUUACUUAAAGGGGGAAAUAGCUGGAUGACCAACUAGUUCUUCAAAAGAUACUACCUAAGUUCAAACAAAUGACACUCAGAGUAAAUAGAGAGAUGCCACAGAGCUCUGGUGACUGCUGAUUUUGAUUUGGUUAGAAAGGUGCCAAAAUCAGAGUCUGGAGAUACUUAGCCCUGUUUUUUUGCAGUCUGCCACGGUACCUAAUUACUGUUUCUGAUAUUAUCAUCUGCUUUAACACACAAAUUCCCUCAAACAGCGGUAGUCCCUAAUAUAUCCCUCUUAUAUUCCCAUCUUCUUGGCCACAUAUUGCUUACCGUGCUAAGUGCUAAAUGGCUUUUGGAAAGUGCUAAGAGGGUGCUGUGAAAGGGCUAAGCUGAGUUUCACAAACAACUGCCUGAACAGAGAAACAGUGUUAUUAGGGAGGGUAGUGCCAGCAGGCCGGCGUGGGCUUAUUCUGACAAAUCUGAAGAGCCGAACUUCACGGUCGUGUUCUUAGGAUGUUUUAAAUGAGACGUUCUCACCUUGCAGAAAUGAAGUUUUUUUGUUCCUAACUGAAAUAAAACAACUGGAUACUUCAUCAGAAAUAUUCAACAGGAUCAGUAUGUUCCAGGUCAAGUUCAUCUACUCUGCCAUUUCUACCAGAAACCAGCUUGGCACUCGAUAAUUCUUAGAAUGGAAGAACGAUUCUUGGAAGAUGAUGGGAACAAAGCCCCAGAGCUAGAAAAGGAACAUUGUUUCUUAAGCUCCAGCCAAUCUCAGGAAAACAAAAACCAACCCAGCCACAAAGGUACCAGAUCUGCACGACAAUUCAGAUGUUCCUUGACGAAACACAACUGUGUGGGCAUUUGCAGAAAGAGAGUAAAACAGAUCAAUAUUUGUUAUCUUCUUCAACGUGCGGCAGCACGUCGGGGCCGGUGUAUGAGCUUCAGCCUGCGAGUGGAAGGGCAGCGUCACAAUAGCAGAAGCCACUUAAUUGCAAGAGAGUCUCAAAAAUGCUGUGUGCACAGUCUUUCUGAAGAGUCAGUUCCCUGGGUGAAACAGCUCGGUCUGUGGUCUUGCGUUGUUUCUCUGCUUGUGUAUCAAAGUGCUUAACUGUUGGAAGAGGCACUCCCUUGAAUUGUGAUCACAAGGCACCUCUUUGACGCGUCAGUCACUGUCACUUAGGGGAUCUCAGCUCUGUUGGGCUACAGCAAAGCUUUUCAGUCUAGUGAGUGCUGGUGUGGACUGGUUUCUGGCCUUAGUGAGCAGUCACACUACUGCUAAUGGGUGAAGUUAACUCUAAUCCAGAAGGUCCGAAAAAGACCUGUUUUCAGUUAGUGAGUAUUUUGUUAAUUCUAUGGGGUGCUUCAGAUAGGAUCAUUUUCUGCGUGAAAGAGAUGUAGUAUCAUGAACAUUGAUGGCUGCUUUGCUAACUUUUAGUUUUCCAGUUUUUGCAGUUAGAUUACUACAGGUUAGGUGCUACUUAAUGUGGUUAAAUCAGUGGAAUGAAUUGCUUCUUUUUUCUUUUUUGCUCUAGCAACAUACUUUGAAAGCACUUAUUCCCUUAAGAAUAAUAGCAUCUGUAACUGUUUUAUCUAACUAUUGGAGUUCUGAAAUGUGUUUAUUAC